UCCACCGACAACGUCGACAAUAACGACGACGACGACGACGACGACGACGACGACGACGUUGCACCGCGAGGCGAGAACAGCCGGUCGGCGCAAUCUCACCAGUUUCCGCAACGAGACCGCGAGAGAGGCUUUCCCGCGACUUUUCUGUCUUUUGGUAGAACACGUGGCCGGCUCGCGCGCGUUCGGCUGUCGCCGGACGCGAUCGGCUCCGCCGCCGUCGCCGCUGCCAUGCGAUAACCUGUAUUAUCGAUCGCGCGUGCCGCAGUUCCGCAUGGCGCGUUAAGCCAAUCGCGGCGACUGGAUAGCCUCGAAUAAUUUACGUCGACCGAUUCCUGUCCGGCGAGUUCGAUCUCGCCAAUGAUCGGCAUGUGAACCGAACACGGCGGCACGUAGGUUCAACGUUUAUCGUCGUAUCGAGUACGCGUCUGUGCUCGCGGCAAACCGAUCGACCGCGUCGCUGCGAGCCCCACGCUCGCAAUUUGAAUGCGGUCUCUGCGGAACGACGCUGCAGCCACGUGAUCGCCGCUUGAUCGAGGCGACCACGCGGAAAAUAGAGGAAUGAAGAGAUUCAUCCGGUGACCUCGUGACACGCGCGGUAAUGCUAUUGGCAAGCGGUACCGCCUCGAUACCGACCAUCACCGGCGUUGUCGAGGAGGAAGAAUACGCACGCAGCGAGGCCAACAGCGCGCAUUACGAUGGAUACGUUACCGAUCACACUGAUCUUGCCUCAGAGAUCGACAUCGACGAGUCCGAGUACAGACGGGAGCUGCUUAACGAUAAAUGGCGAACGCUCUUCGACAAGUUCGAUCCGGAGGGUUUCGGAGAAAUACCGCUGGAGGAUUUUUUGGCAGCUCUGAGGAGUCCCGAAUGGAAGGCGGAGAUACCAACGAACAAACGUGACAUACUUCUCGCCAGGGCGAAGGAAUCACACGUUCAGGCAGUGACUUUCCAGGAUUUCGUCAAUGUGGUAGUGGUGAUGGUUGCUACUACUGCUGCUGCUGCUGCUGCUGCUGCUGCUGCUGCUGCUGUCGCUCGUAACCCUUACGAGUCCAGGUGGGUCCGUGGCUGUCGGUAACAAGAUAUGGGGGUGGUUGGAAGAGAAAACGGCGACGGGGGAGGCAUGAGAGGCGUUCCGAGCGAAGGAUAGUGAAGUCUGCACUUAGCAUUUACAAGCGGAAAGCCGAAAAGCCUUUCGCAAGGACGUCUUGCCGUGAAUACGUACUUCCUUCCGCGAUCCAUUAUGACACGGCAUGUGUGUUGGUCUUUGUCGACUUUGUCGAACGAGCCACGUGAUUCUGCUUUAAUAUUAUUUUUCAGUCGAUCGAAAAGUAUACUAUUAACGGCAAUAAAUUAAAACUCUAUUCAAGUUGACGAGUUUAACGAGACUACGAGAAAGGUAAAACGAAUGUAGCAUCAAUGUAUGU